rnacentral:ncRNA from 1 species
CCUUGGUUAGUUUCUAAACUCCAAGGAUAAUCGGGAAACUGGUGCGUUUUAUUAAAACUAGUCCAGUACUGCCCCCGCAACGGUAAUCGAGUAAUUAGAUUUCAUCCCACUGUGUUAAUCAUGGGAAGGCGAUCUAAUGCAGUAUCACUCGUAAGUCCGGAGACCGGCCCAUUACU